rnacentral:lncRNA from 1 species
ACAAUAUUGUCGUGAUUCUUUGGCAAAUUUGGCGGUAUCGAAAUGAAGCGGUUUGUAAGAACAAGUCACCUUAAUUUUUCCAAUCACAUGUGUUUGGCAAAUUUGGCGGUUUCGAUGUGGGGGUAGAUUUUUUUUUUUUUUCAAGCCUGAACACCACGGAAGUGGGUAUUAUUGUACAGAGCAACGAGAUGGAUCUUUUGUAGCUAUCAAAGUCUGCGUUUUUGUUGGUUGUCUGCGGGUCAACACGGGUGAAGCCAUGGAUUUGUAGGAGGCUCAGUCAUGGAUUAAGGACAUGCAUCUUGAUACUAUGGAGUUUUGAUGUGAUAGCAGAAUUGUUAUAGACAUUCUGGGUGAUCGAGAAAUAGAC